AUUGAACGCUGGCGGCAGGCCUAACACAUGCAAGUCGGACGGUAGCACAGAGGAGCUUGCUCCUCGGGUGACGAGUGGCGGACGGGUGAGUAAUGUCUGGGGAUCUGCCCGAUAGAGGGGGAUAACCACUGGAAACGGUGGCUAAUACCGCAUAACGUCGCAAGACCAAAGAGGGGGACCUUCGGGCCUCUCACUAUCGGAUGAACCCAGAUGGGAUUAGCUAGUAGGCGGGGUAACGGCCCACCUAGGCGACGAUCCCUAGCUGGUCUGAGAGGAUGACCAGCCACACUGGAACUGAGACACGGUCCAGACUCCUACGGGAGGCAGCAGUGGGGAAUAUUGCACAAUGGGCGCAAGCCUGAUGCAGCCAUGCCGCGUGUAUGAAGAAGGCCUUCGGGUUGUAAAGUACUUUCAGCGGGGAGGAAGGCGAUAAGGUUAAUAACCUUGUCGAUUGACGCUACCCGCAGAAGAAGCACCGGCUAACUCCGUGCCAGCAGCCGCGGUAA
rnacentral:rRNA from 1 species